UGAUGAAGACGCCCGUCCCCAGCUCCUGUC
rnacentral:piRNA from 1 species